rnacentral:rRNA from 1 species
AGUGAACGCUGGCGGUAGGCCUAACACAUGCAAGUCGAACGACGGCACAGUAACAGCUUGCUCGUACGGGUGGCGAGUGGCGGACGGGUGAGUAAUACAUCGGAAUUUACUUUUUCGUUGAGUAUGACGUAGCGAAACUAAUGCUAAUACCUCAUACGACCUACGAUUGAAACCAUUGUAUCUUCUGACCUUGCUCGAUUGAAUGAUCCGAUGUCGGAUUGGCUAGUUGGCGGGGUAAAGGCCCACCAAGGCGACGAUCCGUAGAUGGUCUGAGAUGAUGAUCAGCCAAACUGGAACUGUGGCACGGUGAAGAGUACCAGGGGAGGACGCGGUGGAGCAGAUAGGACAAUGGGCGAAAGCGAGAUCCAGUGAUGCAGCGAGGGCGAAGAAGGCACGCGGGUUGUAAGGUUCUUAUGUUGGGAAAGAAAAGAAGAAAGUUACAACCCCGCUGUUAUGACGGUACCAAAAGAAUAAGCACCGGCUAACUUCGUG